rnacentral:rRNA from 1 species
UACGGAGGGUGCGAGCGUUGUCCGGAUUUACUGGGCGUAAAGAGCGCGCAGGCGGUCGUUCAAGUCGAGUGUGAAAGCCCCCGGCUCAACUGGGGAGGGUCACUCGAUACUGAUCGACUCGAAGGCAGGAGAGGGAAGUGGAAUUCCCGGUGUAGUGGUGAAAUGCGUAGAUAUCGGGAGGAACACCAGUGGCGAAGGCGACUUCCUGGCCUGUUCUUGACGCUGAGGCGCGAAAGCUAGGGGAGCAAACGGG